UGUCAAAGUAUAGACGGGGUGAAUACUGACAUUCACAGUGGCAACAAGUAACCUCUUAAAAUACUGGCAUUAAAGAGAAACUGUCAGGGGGGUAAUUUUUUGAAGGACAAUCUGAGGUGGUGUUUUUGAAAAAACAAAGCCCAAGGCAAUGGUGACGUGCCUCAGGGUUAUCCAAAGUAGGUCAGGAUGGGGAGGAAGCACGCAGGGCACAUAGGAAAACUGCCAAGUGCCUGACCUUGCUCCUUUUCCUGAAGCAGGAGGAUCAGCCUUCAGAAGUCUAGGAAAUCCUGCCACAGUUGAAGAUAAAUUGUUUUGCUGAGCUUCCAGACAAAACCUUCUUAAAUCUGCAUAUUAGAAUAAACAAUAAGGAUAAUGGACCAAAAAGAUGGUACCUAGUGUUUCCCUUCACCUUCCCAGAUGCAAAGCAAGGUACUGAGGAAUCACAAGAGGUGGAUGUUGGCAGGGAACUCUGGAAGCUGUCAAGUCAAGUCCUCUGCUCAGAGCAGCUGCAGCCAGGGCUGGUGUCCAGGGCUCUGCCUGCUCCAGCUUUGAAUAUCCUCAAGGGUGAAUACUCCAGAAUCUCUCUGGGUAACUUGUUUCAGUGUUUCACUACACCCCGGUGAAAAAGUGCUCUCUUUUGUUUAAGGGGAAUUUUCUAGGUUUCAGGUUUUGCCUCUGGUCCUGUUACAGUCCUGUCACUGCAGAGAAGAGUCUGACUCAUCCUUCUUUCCUUCUCACCACAACUAUCAGAGAGGACAUGAAUUAUCAUUCUGACACCAGAUCUGAGUAAGCAGAUGCACUCCGUGUGAUCACACGUGUUCUAUUGCAGGAGGCAGCAGCUCCAGCACUUCCUCCCAGCCCUCUGUUCCUAUAUAUAUAUUCCUGCGUGGCAUGGAUUGCAAUGGAGUGUGCAGCAGGGCUAUCCACUUAAAAAUCAUCUUUCAUUAUCACAGAGUAAACCCUGUGACUGUCAUUUUCUAAUCAAAAGGAGGGGUUACCCAUCUGUGAGCAGGUUCAAAGCUCUUGGAUAUGAGAAAUAAGGGAGUUGCUGAAUUUCAGAAUCUUCUCCCAAGCUGCUGCUGGCAAUGGCACUGGAUUCCCCAGUGAUAAUGAAACCACAUUCCCCAAUACAAAAGUAUUAUUAAACUAAUAUUUCCUAUCCUGGUGCAGGAAACAGGAUCCCAGUUGACCCAGAGCCUUGUUAAUGAGAAUUUAUUUGCCAAAUUUACCUGUCCCAUUAAGAUGGUUCAGUAUUUUAUACACUUGCAUUAUUGUACAUUUUUCCCUGAGUUUGAGCCUAGUUUCCUGAAAUAAAAGCAAUUUCAUACAAAAUGGGAAGGCUUGAUGUGGGGAACAGUAGCUGAGGGCUUUGUGUACACAAAUACCACUGCUGCAUCUAGUUUUAGUAGCAUGGAUUGUGGGAAAGGGCAGCUCUUCUACAAGGAUUUAUAAGUUUAUGUGAUGGGGGCAAAGUGCAACUGAGCUGCAGUAUGUUCUGCCUUUUCUCUCUGAUAUCCUCAUCCUCUCAUAUCCAGAUUAUGUUCCACUGUCCU